GUCAAAUCAUCAUGCCCCUUAUGACCUGGGCUACACACGUGCUACAAUGGACAGAACAAAGGGCAGCGAAACCGCGAGGUUAAGCCAAUCCCACAAAUCUGUUCUCAGUUCGGAUCGCAGUCUGCAACUCGACUGCAUGAAGCCGGAGUCGCUAGUAAUCGCGGAUCAGCAAAGCCGCGGUGAAUACGUUCUCGGGGAUU
rnacentral:rRNA from 1 species